CCUACGGGAGGCAGCAGUGGGGAAUAUUGGACAAUGGGCGCAAGCCUGAUCCAGCCAUGCCGCGUGAGUGAUGAAGGCCUUAGGGUUGUAAAGCUCUUUCGUCAGGGAAGCGGUACCUGAAGAAGAAGCCCCGGCUAACUUCGUGCCAGCAGCCGCGGUAAUACGAAGGGGGCUAGCGUUGCUCGGAAUCACUGGGCGUAAAGCGCACGUAGGCGGCUUAUUAAGUCAGGGGUGAAAUCCUGGAGCUCAACUCCAGAACUGCCUUUGAUACUGAUGAGCUUGAGUUCGGGAGAGGUGAGUGGAACUGCGAGUGUAGAGGUGAAAUUCGUAGAUAUUCGCAAGAACACCAGUGGCGAAGGCGGCUCACUGGCCCGUCUGACGCUGAGGUGCGAAAGCGUGGGGAGCAAACAGGAUUAGAUACCCUUGUAGUC
rnacentral:rRNA from 1 species